rnacentral:rRNA from 1 species
UCGAAGGGGGCUAGCGUUGCUCGGAAUCACUGGGCGUAAAGGGUGCGUAGGCGGGUCUUUAAGUCAGGGGUGAAAUCCUGGAGCUCAACUCCAGAACUGCCUUGAUACUGAGGAUCUUGAGUAUGGGAGAGGUGAGUGGAACUGCGAGUGUAGAGGUGAAAUUCGUAGAUAUUCGCAAGAACACCAGUGGCGAAGGCGCUACUGGCCCAUACUGAC